UACGUAGGUGGCAAGCGUUGUCCGGAAUUAUUGGGCGUAAAGCGCGCGCAGGCGGUCCUUUAAGUCUGAUGUGAAAGCCCACGGCUCAACCGUGGAGGGUCAUUGGAAACUGGGGGACUUGAGUGCAGAAGAGGAAAGCGGAAUUCCACGUGUAGCGGUGAAAUGCGUAGAGAUGUGGAGGAACACCGGUGGCGAAGGCGGCUCACUGGCUCGUUUCUGACGCUCAGGCGCGAUCGCGUGGGGAUCAAACAGG
rnacentral:rRNA from 1 species